GGUACUUGUACCGACUGGAUGAGCAGCGAACGGGUGAGUAACGCGUGGGGAAUCUGCCUUUGAGCGGGGGACAACAUUUGGAAACGAAUGCUAAUACCGCAUAAAAACUUUAAACACAAGUUUUAAGUUUGAAAGAUGCAAUUGCAUCACUCAAAGAUGAUCCCGCGUUGUAUUAGCUAGUUGGUGAGGUAAAGGCUCACCAAGGCGAUGAUACAUAGCCGACCUGAGAGGGUGAUCGGCCACAUUGGGACUGAGACACGGCCCAAACUCCUACGGGAGGCAGCAGUAGGGAAUCUUCGGCAAUGGACGAAAGUCUGACCGAGCAACGCCGCGUGAGUGAAGAAGGUUUUCGGAUCGUAAAACUCUGUUGGUAGAGAAGAACGUUGGUGAGAGUGGAAAGCUCAUCAAGUGACGGUAACUACCCAGAAAGGGACGGCUAACUACGUGCCAGCAGCCGCGGUAAUACGUAGGUCCCGAGCGUUGUCCGGAUUUAUUGGGCGUAAAGCGAGCGCAGGUGGUUUAUUAAGUCUGGUGUAAAAGGCAGUGGCUCAACCAUUGUAUGCAUUGGAAACUGGUAGACUUGAGUGCAGGAGAGGAGAGUGGAAUUCCAUGUGGUUAGCG
rnacentral:rRNA from 1 species